UGCAAGUCGAGCGAACGGAUAAGGAGCUUGCUCCUUUGAAGUUAGCGGCGGACGGGUGAGUAACACGUGGGUAACCUACCUAUAAGACUGGGAUAACUUCGGGAAACCGGAGCUAAUACCGGAUAACAUUUAGAACCGCAUGGUUCUAAAGUGAAAGAUGGUUUUGCUAUCACUUAUAGAUGGACCCGCGCCGUAUUAGCUAGUUGGUAAGGUAACGGCUUACCAAGGCGACGAUACGUAGCCGACCUGAGAGGGUGAUCGGCCACACUGGAACUGAGACACGGUCCAGACUCCUACGGGAGGCAGCAGUAGGGAAUCUUCCGCAAUGGGCGAAAGCCUGACGGAGCAACGCCGCGUGAGUGAUGAAGGGUUUCGGCUCGUAAAACUCUGUUAUUAGGGAAGAACAAAUGUGUAAGUAACUGUGCACAUCUUGACGGUACCUAAUCAGAAAGCCACGGCUAACUACGUGCCAGCAGCCGCGGUAAUACGUAGGUGGCAAGCGUUAUCCGGAAUUAUUGGGCGUAAAGCGCGCGUAGGCGGUUUCUUAAGUCUGAUGUGAAAGCCCACGGCUCAACCGUGGAGGGUCAUUGGAAACUGGGAAACUUGAGUGCAGAAGAGGAAAGUGGAAUUCCAUGUGUAGCGGUGAAAUGCGCAGAGAUAUGGAGGAACACCAGUGGCGAAGGCGACUUUCUGGUCUGUAACUGACGCUGAUGUGCGAAAGCGUGGGGAUC
rnacentral:rRNA from 1 species